rnacentral:ncRNA from 1 species
UUAAAAGCUUUGAAGAGAAUAAGUAGGAUUAGGAUAACCUUUAAAGAGAGUUCCCGGUAGGUGAGAGGGGCAAAGGAUUUUAAUUUGAAUACAUCUCUGAGCAGCAUUCCGAAAGAUAACAACUAGUAGGAAUAAGACGUAUCCUGCACACGUUAUAGUGCUAGAGUAUAACCAAAAAUUUUGGCGUACUUGAUAAGGUUUAUGUGGUGACGCAUAGAUGAACUAAGGUGGUAACACGGGAUUAUUACUCUCGUCCUUUUU